GGGGAAUAUUGCACAAUGGGGGAAACCCUGAUGCAGCGACGCCGCGUGGAGGAAGAAGGUCUUCGGAUUGUAAACUCCUGUUGUUGAGGAAGAUAAUGACGGUACUCAACAAGAAAGCCACGGCUAACUACGUGCCAGCAGCCGCGGUAAAACGUAGGUGGCAAGCGUUGUCCGGAAUUACUGGGUGUAAAGGGAGCGCAGGCGGAAGGACAAGUUGGAAGUGAAACCCACGGGCUCAACCCGUGAACUGCUUUCAAAACUGUUUUUCUUGAGUGGUGUAGAGGUAGGCGGAAUUCCCGGUGUAGCGGUGGAAUGCGUAGAUAUCGGGAGGAACACCAGUGGCGAAGGCGGCCUACUGGGCACUAACUGACGCUGAGGCUCGAAAGCAUGGGUAGCAAACAGGAUUAGAUACCCUGGUAGUCCAUGCCGUAAACGAUGAUUACUAGGUGUGGGAGGAUUGACCCCUUCCGUGCCGCAGUUAACACAAUAAGUAAUCCACCUGGGGAGUACGACCGCAAGGUUGAAACUCAAAGGAAUUGACGGGGGCCCGCACAAGCAGUGGAGUAUGUGGUUUAAUUCGAAGCAACGCGAAGAACCUUACCAGGUCUUGACAUCGGAUGCAUAGCUAAGAGAUUAGUGAAGCCCUUCGGGGCAUCCAGACAGGUGGUGCAUGGUUGUCGUCAGCUCGUGUCGUGAGAUGUUGGGUUAAGUCCCGCAACGAGCGCAACCCUUACUGUUAGUUACUACGCAAGAGGACUCUAGCAGGACUGCCGUUGACAAAACGGAGGAAGGUGGGGAUGACGUCAAAUCAUCAUGCCCUUUAUGACCUGGGCUACACACGUACUACAAUGGCGUUAAACAAAGAGAAGCGAAGCCGCGAGGUGGAGCAAACCUCAAAAACAACGUCCCAGUUCAGACUGCAGGCUGCAACUCGCCUGCACGAAGUCGGAAUUGCUAGUAAUCGCGGAUCAGCAUGCCGCGGUGAAUACGUUCCCG
rnacentral:rRNA from 1 species